AGCGAACGCUGGCGGCAGGCUUAACACAUGCAAGUCGAGCGCCCCGCAAGGGGAGCGGCAGACGGGUGAGUAACACGUGGGAACGUGCCUUUUGGUUCGGAACAACCCAGGGAAACUUGG
rnacentral:rRNA from 1 species